AGUGAACGCUGGCGGUAGGCCUAACACAUGCAAGUCGAACGGCAGCACAGUAAGAGCUUGCUCUUACGGGUGGCGAGUGGCGGACGGGUGAGGAAUACAUCGGAAUCUACUUUUUCGUGGGGGAUAACGUAGGGAAACUUACGCUAAUACCGCAUACGGCCUACGGGUGAAAGCAGGGGAUCUUCGGACCUUGCGCGAUUGAAUGAGCCGAUGUCGGAUUAGCUAGUUGGCGGGGUAAAGGCCCACCAAGGCGACAAUCCGUAGCUGGUCUGAGAGGAUGAUCAGCCACACUGGAACUGAGACACGGUCCAGACUCCUACGGGAGGCAGCAGUGGGGAAUAUUGGACAAUGGGCGCAAGCCUGAUCCAGCCAUACCGCGUGGGUGAAGAAGGCCUUCGGGUUGUAAAGCCCUUUUGUUGGGAAAGAAAAGCAGCAGGUUAAUACCCCGCUGUUCUGACGGUACCCAAAGAAUAAGCACCGGCUAACUUCGUG
rnacentral:rRNA from 1 species